rnacentral:rRNA from 1 species
AUUGAACGCUGGCGGAAUGCUUUACACAUGCAAGUCGAACGGCAGCACGGGGGCAGCCCUGGUGGCGAGUGGCGAACGGGUGAGUAAUACAUCGGAACGUGCCCGGUCGUGGGGGAUAACGUAGCGAAAGUUACGCUAAUACCGCAUACGAUCUGAGGAUGAAAGCGGGGGACCUUCGGGCCUCGCGCGAUCGGAGCGGCCGAUGUCAGAUUAGGUAGUUGGUGGGGUAAAGGCCUACCAAGCCGACGAUCUGUAGCUGGUCUGAGAGGACGACCAGCCACACUGGGACUGAGACACGGCCCAGACUCCUACGGGAGGCAGCAGUGGGGAAUUUUGGACAAUGGGCGCAAGCCUGAUCCAGCCAUUCCGCGUGCAGGACGAAGGCCUUCGGGUCGUAAACUGCUUUUGUACGGAACGAAAAGGCUCUGGCUAAUACCUGGGGCUCAUGACGGUACCGUAAGAAUAAGCACCGGCUAACUACGU